rnacentral:rRNA from 1 species
UACGUAGGGUGCGAGCGUUAAUCGGAAUUACUGGGCGUAAAGCGUGCGCAGGCGGCGCCGCAAGUCGAGUGUGAAAUCCCCGAGCUUAACUUGGGAAUUGCGCUCGAAACUACGGUGCUGGAGUGUGGCAGAGGGAGGUGGAAUUCCACGUGUAGCGGUGAAAUGCGUAGAGAUGUGGAGGAACACCGAUGGCGAAGGCAGCCUCCUGGGCCAACACUGACGCUGAGGUGCGAAAGCGUGGGUAGCAAACAGG